GGGGACAGCAGAGGAACUUCAUCAAUUACACUCCUUCAUCAAUACAAGCAGUGAAAAUCUCACCUUUAAUGCGCAUGAAACAGGUUACCAGAUGGUUGGACGAUACUUUUCUCAUCAAUCAUCUUAAAAACUGGAAAUCAACCAAUCCUUACCUAUGAUGUUAACUACAACAGAAAUAACUUAAAAUGUAUCACUUUAAAUUAAACCAAUCGUUUGCACUCAUGACUUGAGCUAUUUAGCCAACUAGCUAUUAGCCUAAACAGCAUAACCAACCAGCACACAGAAUUUAGAACAGCCACAUUUUUACAGAUGACGUCCCACACCGUAGCAGCGUAGCCUUCAGGUCUGCUACUAAACCACUGGCCUUCAUCGAGAGCAUCAAGUCCAUGCUGAGUUGUGGGUAAACGGUGACUGGCUGACUGAUUUAUAAAUAAUAAUGAGUAGUUAUUUAAGAUGCAAGGUGAUUUGUGAAUGAGUCAGCAGCCACCUGCACUGUCGGCUGCAAAGUCGAACGAGCCCAAUACCAAACCAAUCAGGUGUUCGACGAAAUUAUUCUUCAGACAUCAUUGAUCACGUGCUGCUGAUAAAGGGACACUGCUUUGAAUUAUACCGCUUAGCGACUUCAGUACCUGCCUCAUAGCUCCAGUCUCAAACUUAACCCCGGUCCUGCUGAAGAAGAGGCGGUCGUCUGGAUGGAGAAAGAAGCUCUCGUGAAAGAGGUGGAGGAAGAGGAGGCUGUUACAAUACAAAAACAAGUAGAGGUUGAGGCUGUUACCGUGAAAGAAGAAGAGAAAGACGUCACAGUUAAAGAGGGAGACUCGUUCAGAGUUAAUAAAGAGGGGGACGACGACAUUUCAGUGAACGAAGAGGAGGGGGAGGUGACUGUCACAUCGGAAAAUGAAGAAGAGGAGGAAACUGGAUAUCUCGGCCCGGUUUCCCAAGCGCAUCUUAAGGCGUCCGAUGGUUCCAACGAUGAAGGGGCCCUGAUUAACACUAGAGAGGGACCUGACUAUCGUGGAUCCUCUGGGGGGCCUCAACAACCUCAUGAUGCUGACAGGGUAGAGAAGAGUCUCUCCAAAUCAAAACACCUCAAGAAACACCAGCAGAGACCCACAGGGAAGAAAUCUCAUUGCUGCUCUGACUGCGGGAAAGGUUGCAAAUCUUCAUCAGAACUUCAAAUACACCAGAGAACACACACAGGAGAGAAACCUUAUAGCUGUGGUCAAUGUGG